rnacentral:rRNA from 1 species
GGUUGAUCCUGCCAGUAUUAUAUGCUGAUGUUAAAGAUUAAGCCAUGCAUGUGUAAGUUUAAAGACCAAGUAGGAUGAAACUGCGGACGGCUCAUUAUAACAGUAAUAGUUUCUUUGGUUAGUAGGUACAAGGAUAACUUUGUGAAUGAUAAAGCUAAUACUUGAGACGUUCCGGGGAGUAUUUAUACUUCACGGCCGAUGACCGCAAGGUUGUCGAGUAAUGACGUUUUUCUGUGAGAAAGGACGCCACGACAAUUGUUGAAGGCUUUGCUUUUUACAAGUAACCAAUGGG